GACGAACGCUGGCGGCGUGCCUAAUACAUGCAAGUAGAACGCUGAAGAGAGGAGCUUGCUCUUCUUGGAUGAGUUGCGAACGGGUGAGUAACGCGUAGGUAACCUGCCUGGUAGCGGGGGAUAACUAUUGGAAACGAUAGCUAAUACCGCAUAAAAUUGAUUAUUGCAUGAUAAUUAAUUGAAAGAUGCAACUGCAUCACUACCAGAUGGACCUGCGUUGUAUUAGCUAGUUGGUGAGGUAACGGCUCACCAAGGCGACGAUACAUAGCCGACCUGAGAGGGUGAUCGGCCCCACUGGGACUGGGACACGGCCCAGACUCCUACGGGAGGCAGCAGUAGGGAAUCUUCGGCAAUGGGGGGAACCCUGACCGAGCAACGCCGCGGGAGUGAAGAAGGUUUUCGGAUCGUAAAGCUCUGUUGUAAGAGAAGAACGGGUGUGAGAGUGGAAAGUUCACACUGUGACGGUAUCUUACCAGAAAGGGACGGCUAACUACGUG
rnacentral:rRNA from 1 species